rnacentral:rRNA from 1 species
AUUGAACGCUGGCGGCAUGCCUUACACAUGCAAGUCGAACGGCAGCACGGGUGCUUGCACCUGGUGGCGAUUGGCGAACGGGGGAGUAUUACAUCUGAACAUGUCCCGUAGUGGGCGAGAGUCCGUCCGAAGCCGGAUUAAUACCACAGACGAAUUACGUAUGAAAGAGGGGGACCAAGGGGCCUCGCGCUUUGGGGUUGGCCGUAGCCUGAUUAGCUAGUUGGUGGGGUAACGGCAUACCAAGGCGACGAUAAGUAGCUGGUCUGAGAGGAAGACCAGCCACACUGGAACUGAGACACGGCCCAGACUCCUACGGGAGGCAGCAGUGGGGAAUUUUGGACAAUGGGCGAAAGCCUGAUCCAGCAAUGCCGCGUGUGUGAAGAAGGCCUUCGGGUUGUAAAGCACUGUUGUUCGGAAAGAAAACCUUGGUACUAAUCCGGGCGGGGGAUGACGGUACCGAAAGAAUAAGCCCCGGCUAACUACGUG